rnacentral:rRNA from 1 species
AUGCGCCAACCCCGCCGUCACCCGUCGAUCCGGCUGCGGCGCUGCGCACUUCCACCCUCGUUGCCCUCCCUGGUCCAGCAACGUCACCUGCUCCCUUCAACUCCCAUCUCGAUCUUCAUGGCCCUCAGAUCUAGCAGCCCUCGGCCACGACGCUGCCGGAUCUGGUCGGCUUGGCCUCGUCGCCCCAACCAAUAG